UGUAUGCGCGCUAGUAAACAAGUCAUGCCCCUCCCCCUUACAUGCCUAUCACCAAACAUUUAAAGGGUAGGUCAGUGUCCUGGGAAGGAGGAGGAGGAGGAACAGGAGAGGGAAACAGGGGAAGGAGAGAAACUCAGCCCAGGAGUUAAUAUAAACUACAAGCACGCAGACGCCCAGGAAAGUUGAGGCACAGCAUCUGCUCAAGUGGCUGCUCUAUACAAAGUUGGGAAGCAAUGGGAGGUCAUAGAAUGGGAAUUAGAAGAUUGGUCCCCACUUUCCAAUAGAAAGGACCAGCAUGAUAGCCACCGUUUUUGACAAGAUACGACUGUCAUGGAUCAGCCUUGAACUGUCUCAUGAGGUAAUCUCAAAGAUGAAAUAAGGAGAAGGAACUGACAAAAAUCAUCAACAAAAAUUCCAUUUAAUCAUUCAUUUUAUAAUCAACCUGGAUCUAUCAGAGUGUGGAUGGUACUCCUCUCACGGAUUAAUUUCUGGAGAGUAAAGUUUCAAUCUUUGCAAAGAGUAAUAGAAUCACAGUAAAUAAACUGGUGAAUGGAUUGUGCUGCUUCAUAAAGAAUAGAUAUAAAAGAUGGCUACCUUAAAAAAUUAAAGUCACAUGUUGAAAUAAAUGAAGGAAAAUAACAUAAAAAGGGAGAAAUGAAAGUGCUGGGAGAAAUGAAAGGGGCAUUUGACUGUUUUAACUUUAAUAUGAUAGUUUAUAUACAAUAAUACAGGGAUGGGCCUAAAAUGGAGUAUAAUUUGGAGGGGAUAGAAUUGUAAAACCCUCCAGAUUUUGCCAGUGGUAGCUGGCAACUCCAAUGUCAGUGAGACAGUGAAUUCAGGUAUAGGCCACCUCCGAGUUACAAACAUCCAACUUACAAACAACUCAUAGUAAAAAAUGGGGGUGAGACAACAGGAAGAGAAGUCUUCCUCUCUGAAGGGAGACACACCAAGAUUGAUUUUGGACAGUAUCCUAUUCAAUUAACAUAUAUUCAUUAGUAACAGAGACUACUCUUCUGUAUUUUUUGUGAGUAUAUUAACUGAAAAAUUAAAAUUGUAGCAAACUAUGAAUGAUUUGAUUUUAAAAUUCAUUUUAGGAAUACACAGAGUUAAGACAAUGGCAUGCAGGAGUAAAGGAAAGCAUUGCAGAUGAAAUCAAAAGACUCAAUAAAGGAAGAGAACUUUAGGAAAUCAUUCCAUCUUUUGCUAAGGUAUAGCUAAAUCUGCCAGAUAAGAUAUAUUGCAAGCCCUGAGAUUUCAGGGCCAAAACCUGGGGCCAAGGAGUAGUCUUUGAUGGUGUCAUAGCAGAUGGUUCCUGCUGAUAUUACAAAGAUGAAGUUUCAAGGAGAAGCCCCCUGGUGAUAUUAUUAGUUAUCCUAAAUUUUGUAUUAAUUAAAUAAAAUAUGUAUUAAAAUACAAAGGAGAAACACACAUAUUUUUCAGGUCAGCCUUCCUACCUUUAGAUUCUUCCACAUCUUGCACUUUUUUGUGUCAGGAGUGACUUGAGAAACUGCAAGUUGCUUAUGUUGCGAGAGAAUUGGCCGUCUGCAAGGAUGUUACCCAGGGGACAUCUGAAUGUUUUGAUGUUUUUACCAUCCUCGUGGGAGGCUUCUCUCAUGUCCCUGCAUGGAACUAGAGCUGAUAGAGGGAGCUCAUCCGUGCUCUCCCCUGGUUGGAUUCGAACUGGCAACUUUCAGGUCAGCAACCCAUCCUUCAAGUCAUCAGUCCUGCCAGCACAAGGGUUUAACGCACUGCACUACCGAGGGCUCCAUAUAUCUUGCACUGAGGACUGGGAAAGUGGGUCCAUGGCCUGAGAUCUGGGAACCAUGGUUGAAACAAAAUGGCAAUGCUGACCAGACAGUGACAGAAGGACUGUCUCUUCAUGCUCAUGCAAUACUUUGUCAAUUGAGAUACUUCACACUGCUUGCUUAUUUCAAAGUCUAGUGUUGUCCAAUCAGUAUCUUUCCGUGACUGAAAUUAACUCUUAAGGUUUUACCCCUUACACAUUCAUAUAGCUUUAUAACUUAGCUCUCAUGCCACUGAUUUUUUUUUUCAUUCAAGCUCAAAAAGCACUACCACUGGGUUCCAAAACUAAUGAGUUCUAUGCAUUUACCUAUGUUAUAAGCUCUUGCCAUAAAAUUAUAAUUGUUUUUUCUGUUAUGUUUGAAAAACUUUUAGACAAUGAAUACAAUAUUUUUAAGAGAGCAAAUUCAAGUGUAUUUGUGUGAUAUUGUUUUUCUCUUCCUUUCUUCUUCUUGGAAACAAGAAUCAGACAAAGUAAAUACUAUAGCUGAGACACUCAUAAAUGUAUGCUUAAUCACAUUUCUCAUACUGCUUUUAUAUUUCCACCUACUAUGUAAGAUGGUCACAGCUAAGUUGACAUCCCAGAAUUUAAGCAUUUUGAAAGCUUUUUUCACUGUUACUAGUACAGUUUUAUACAAUGGAAUUAUUCUUGUGGAAAAGCAGUCAAGCAUUUUCUUGAAAUGUAAUUUUUCCAUUUGUUUACACUUUCUAACAAAUGCUGAUAGAACAUUCUCUACACUUUGUUGUAAUGUUAUUAUUUUGAAUUUCAUGUCACAGGUUACAGGGAAAAUUGAAAACAUCAGUAAAUGUAGCCUCAAGUAAUGUUUGCCUGCAUUACAGGUUACUGUUACUACACAACGGACAGAUCUUUUAUGCCACCUAGUCUCAGUUCAAAUAGUUUUUAGUGGAAACAGUCCAUAACUGUUAUUAAGUAAUAUAAUUUUAUAAUAUUUUAUAUUCAUGAUAUUUAUAUUAUGCUCUGUAAUUCGAAAAAGCCCUCAGAGUAUAUGUCAAUAGACACAUGCAUGUGCUAACAAAGAAUUAAAACAAAUCCCGUUCUCAUAUUUUCUAUUUACAUGUAUACAUGGUUCAGAUCCCUAUUGCUAAUUCCAGUUAUAAUAGACCAUUAAAUAGUCUGUAUGUACGUAUAUAAUUUAUAUCCCAUGGGCACAAUACCCAAACAGACCUAUAUGGUCAUUUACUGCAUUUAUGAAUACUCACUAAAUAUUGACAUAUACCAUUGAUUCAGUAGGUCAGGGGUGUCUCCAACAAGAUUAAGAUCAGAAGUGAGGAAAGUACAGCAGCCCCCAACAAUCCUCCAAAGCCCACAAUCUUCUGGGAUUUCAAAACAUGUUUUGAUGCUAUUUUGUGAUUGUUUUAGCUUAAAACUGUACAGAGAGUAGCACAGAUGCACCCCCACCCAAAAAAAGGCCACAAAACCCCACUCCCCCCAGACUACUAUUUUUGUUCCAUGCCGUUCCCAAAACAACAAGCUAAAGUGACAAAAAUAACUCCCUGUGGUCCUUUUGGGAAGAAUACAGACAAAAAUGGUGAUAUUGUGGGGCUACUGUCAUAGGGUUGGCCACAUAAGACAGAGAAGUUGAAAACUGCCCCCAGGCCCUGUUCACACCAGCCUUAGAUCUUUGGCCUUCCAAAUGUUUUGCUCUGCAGCUCUCACAACCAUUGCCAUUGGAGGUACUCAGAAAACGUUGCAGAGAUUGUAGACAAAAAUCUGCAUAGAUUUAUUUUUCCAUCCCUGUUUUAAACAGCAUUGUAGAUUUAAUUCCUAUGAGAACAGAAUGGUCAAAGAAUGAAAUGUCAAGACAUACUGAAGUCACGGCAAGCAAAGAACAUCAAUUAAAUCAAUUUUUGUAAAUUCUGCAAGAAACAAUGUGAAAACAUUUUUCAAUUAAUGCCAGGUCAUUCAUUUUCCUGUUCUUAUUUAUCUUAAUAACAGUAGCAAUAAAUAAAAGAGAGAAAUCAUCUAUUGAUGUAAAAGGAAGUUAUUUUGUGUUUUUAUCACUUACAUUUAAACCUGAGGUAGGGAGACUUUUGCUUAAAUCCAAUUAUGAGUCCCAAUUAGAAUAGAUCUAUCAAAUCAACUUAAUUUGGGUAAAUGUUAAAUUACCAAGUUUCUAUUGACUCAUUGGGUAUUUCUCCGUGGGACCAACAAGUAGAUAUAGGUCUCUGUUUCAUUUUUACAAGAAAUGAAUUUCUGUUGUUUUUUUUUUUUUUACUCCUUUCUUGUACAUGAAAGUAAAAAAUAAUUUCAGGAGAUGUUAAAGUUGGAUUUUAGUUGCUGGAAACAGAUUUUUAUUUGUUUGGUUUUUUCUUUUAUAAGCUCAUUUAUUGAGUGUGAAAAGUUGAAGGGUGACAAAUAAUUUUGCAAUAGGAUGAGAGUUUGAGUUUUCGCUGUGACAUUUAAAUUGGAAUUCAUAUUUGAUGGCAUGAACAAAAUUUAAAUGCAUGUCAUCAGUGUAAUGCUAUAAAGAAGUUUCUUAAUGCUUCAACUUCCUUUAUGUCUACUUUUACAUGUGCCUAGAAAGUGCUUUGAAGAACCAUUGUAAAUGUGUGCAAAUUGUUUUUUCUCUCAUCUCUAAUGCAAUUGCCUUCAUGUGAAAAAGCCUAUUGUUGAUGCUGUGAAUGCCCAGUCUUUUAUUCUCUUAAUAUUGUAAAAUAUUUGUUUGUUUACUGACCCACCUUUCCUCCAACAUGGGACCCAAGGCUACUUACAGCAGGGUUAAAAUAAGAAAAAACUAAAACAAUCUGAUGAUUAAACAUUAAAACACAAUUAAUAAGAUAUAUCUUAAAAUGCCAAAUUAUUUUUUAAAUUCAGCAAAGAACAAAGAAUUAGAAAUUUAUUAGGAAAGAACUGAAUAUUUUCCUCCAGGUUUCAGUCUUCUUGUUAUGAAAAUUUGGAUCAACCACAAAGGCUUUAUUGUUUCUUGCUAACACUACUAUUACUAUUACUGUAACCUCUACCACUACCAAAGCCAAAGCAUUAAAAUCAUAAAUUCAUCAUAAAAAAUAACUCAUUUACAAAGGUUGUGAUUUUAAAUUAAAAUUAUGAAUAGCAAGGUAGAGCAAUAAAGAAUCCCUAGCCUAAAAUGAUACAUUUUAAUAUAUUGGGUUUAUGGUCAUGUAAGUGUGAUUUAUUGUUAUAAUUGUAUUAUUUUACUUUGUUUAAUAAUGUGUAUUAUGUUGUUAUGUAAUGUUUGUGUUGCUUUUAUGACUGUAAACCGCCCUGAGUCCCAUCCGGGAGAUAGGGCAGUAUAUAAAUAAAGUUUUAUUAUUAUUAUUAUUAUAUUAUAAGAGUGCUUUGAUUAUGUAUUCUUGCAUGGCUGGCCCUUGUGGAUUUUUCCAGCUUUGUAAUUCUUUGACACAACAAUUGUAAGAACAAGUUUCAGAAGCUGCAGGGAGUUGUCCAAGAUCCUGAAAUCCUCACUGCAGCUGCAGAAUGUACUGUUCAGAAUUCAUCUUUUAUAAUUUUAUUUAUAGUACAAAUGUUUCCUGAUAUCUCCAAUUAAAAUGAUUGGGCGGUAGGAAGCAUUGUGUCUGAAACCUUAGCCAGCCAGUUUUAAUCAGAAUGGAUAAUGUUGAAGCUGAUAAUACUGAUUAUUCUUCCCACACAAAUAAAAUUGCCCACACAUUCUUAGACUCUCCUACAUGGAUGGAAUUUUGCAUCUUUAUAUUUAUAUGUUUAAGAUAUGCUUUAAAAAGCUGUUGUGUAUCCUGUGGGAGUAAACCAGAUGAAAAUACUUGGGUUGUCAACCACAAUUUAUAAGCAACACAAUUACAUUGCUUUUCCUUGUCCAUAUGAAUAGGCAGAGGUAAAGGUCUGCUGUUGAUUAUCCAUUGGCAGCUUUCCUCUCUCCUCCCAUUCAAUAUGCCCUGUUUUAUCUACACAUUAGUUACCGCCUUGGUACUCAGUGCAAGGGCUGCUUUCCCCUUCUCCUCUCCCCUACUUUGUGCUAAUAAAGAGGUGAAGGUGUUCUUGAAAAAAAAGUAGUCAACGUUAUAAAUCAGCGGGUGAAGGGGGUGGGGCAAACAUGUGGAGUGUUCAUGCUGGGUGUCAUGAUGUGGAAAGCCUUGUUGUUAGGAUCAACCACACUUUUACUAUUUUUGCUACUUUCCUUAGGGCCUCAUUAUAAGAAUGUUUCCCCCAUGUUUUAUCUCCAUUUUCACACACUGGCAAAAUGGAGUCCAUUCUAUGAUGCACGUCCACUUCCAAUGGCUGCCCAACAUGCUACAAUGAAGACUCUGUUCUCAGGAGUCAGGAAGUGGGGAGAAGCAAGAGAAAACUAGCAGAAGAUGGAGAAAGGUUGUGGGA